AUAAUCUACGAUGAUGUUUUUUUACAUAUGUUAGACUAAUGAAAUGAUUUGAUUGUAACUUAAUUACUGAGUUCAA
rfam:Drosophila mojavensis strain TSC#15081-1352.22 Ctg01_11523, whole genome shotgun sequence.